UUACCUACGGGGCGCAGCAGUGGGGAAUAUUGCACAAUGGGGGAAACCCUGAUGCAGCGACGCCGCGUGAGCGAUGAAGUAUUUCGGUAUGUAAAGCUCUAUCAGCAGGGAAGAAAGUGACGGUACCUGACUAAGAAGCCCCGGCUAACUACGUGCCAGCAGCCGCGGUAAUACGUAGGGGGCAAGCGUUAUCCGGAUUUACUGGGUGUAAAGGGAGCGUAGACGGCGGUGCAAGCCAGAUGUGAAAGCCCGGGGCUCAACCCCGGGACUGCAUUUGGAACUGUGCUGCUAGAGUGUCGGGGAGG
rnacentral:rRNA from 1 species